GCAGUCGAGCGAAUCUUUGGGAGCUUGCUCCCAAUGUUUAGCGGCGGACGGGUGAGUAACACGUGGGCAACCUGCCUGUAAGACUGGGAUAACUUCGGGAAACCGGAGCUAAUACCGGAUAAUCUUUUUCCUCUCAUGAGGAAAAACUGAAAGACGGUUUCGGCUGUCACUUACAGAUGGGCCCGCGGCGCAUUAGCUAGUUGGUGAGGUAACGGCUCACCAAGGCGACGAUGCGUAGCCGACCUGAGAGGGUGAUCGGCCAAACUGUGACUGAGACACGGCCCAGACUCCUACGGGAGGCAGCAGUAGGGAAUCUUCCACAAUGGACGAAAGUCUGAUGGAGCAACGCCGCGUGAGCAAUGAAGGCCUUCGGGUCGUAAAGCUCUGUUGUUAGGGAAGAACAAGUAUCGGAGUAACUGCCGGUACCUUGACGGUACCUAACCAGAAAGCCACGGCUAACUACGUGCCAGCAGCCGCGGUAAUACGUAGGUGGCAAGCGUUGUCCGGAAUUAUUGGGCGUAAAGCGCGCGCAGGCGGUCCUUUAAGUCUGAUGUGAAAGCCCACGGCUCAACCGUGGAGGGUCAUUGGAAACUGGCGGACUUGAGUGCAGAAGAGGAAAGCGGAAUUCCACGUGUAGCGGUGAAAUGCGUAUAGAUGUGGAGGAACACCAGUGGCGAAGGCGGCUUUCUGGUCUGUGACUGACGCUCACGCGCGAAAGCGUGGGGAGCAAACAGGAUUAGAUACCCUGGUAGUCCACGCCGUAAACGAUGAGUGCUAAGUGUUAGGGCGUUUCCGCCCCUUAGUGCUGCAGCUAACGCAUUAAGCACUCCGGCUGGGGAGUACGGCCGCAAGGCUGAAACUCAAAGGAAUUGACGGGGGCCCGCACAAGCGGUGGAGCAUGUAGUUUUAUUUCGAAGCCACGGGAAAGAACCUUACCAGGGCUUGACGUCCUCUGACACUCCUAGAAGAUAGGACGUUCC
rnacentral:rRNA from 1 species